UACGUAGGGAGCAAGCGUUGUCCGGAAUCAUUGGGCGUAAAGCGCGCGUAGGUGGCCUCGUAAGUCCGCUGUGAAAGUCAAAGGCUCAACCUUUGAAAGCCGGUGGAUACUGGGAGGCUAGAGUACGGAAGAGGCGAGUGGAAUUCCUGGUGUAGCGGUGGAAUGCGCAGAUAUCAGGAGGAACACCAGUGGCGAAGGCGCGGCUCUGGGCCGUGACUGACGCUGAGGAGCGAAAGCGUGGGUAGCAAACAGG
rnacentral:rRNA from 1 species